GAUUGGACCAGCACGGCCCGUGUAAUCCUGCAAUCAAAUCCCUAAAACGAUGCGAGAUGAAAACGAUUAGGGUUACAAACUUCCAGAUCGUCCAGUCCAGUCACAUGCAACUUAUCUGCGGGAUUUGCUCCCUAAUAAGGUGUUGAUCAUGUUCUAGUUAUCUGUGAAAUUUUGAAGUCCAAAGGACCAAGGACUACGUUUCUGUUUCGCAUAUUGCAGUGCAUGCUCUUUAAGGAACAUAGUUCCACGAGAUGAGAUAAUCAUGCCCGCAUUUCUCCUAUGUCAACCCCGUAGGGUUUGGUUCUUGUCAAUUGGUCAUGUUAAUUUUAGUAUUUCAUGAAAAAGAAAAGCUCUUGUGAUUAAGGGCUGUGAUGUACAUGUGAGGGUUAAGGACCGUGAUGCCGUAUCCUCAAAAGUUACCCCUGCUAUUAUGUGAAGAGCAAUAUUCAUUUAUCAAGAGCACAGACUGAAAGCUAAUAACAAAAUUGGCAUUUGGCAAUGCUGAAUUAUGCUUUAUCCAUGAAUGAGGAUUAAUUUUUCUGACUCAAUCUCUUUUAAGAAAGAACAAACAAACAAACUUGAUUCAUAAGGAGACCAGUGGAAUCACUGCUAUUACAUUACACCAUCAACAACUUUACCUCCCAAAACAUCAAAUGUGGUUUAAUCCAUUUAUGACACUUAUAAUGCUGGUGAAGGAAUAUUUUUCUUGGACCAUCUCGUCCACAACAAAACCUCCAAAAUGAUGCAAGUGAUGAAGAGAAUGGCUAGAUCGAAGCCAUAUCCAACCUUCCAAGAGCUCCCUCCAUCUCCUACUUGAAUCCCUACAACAAUGUUGACUGCCGCAAAGAACAGGGCGAGCCUUCCUCCCCAGUGGUGGUACCAAUUCCAGUACCUACGUAUCUUGGAAUCUUGGUCAGGAUUCAAAUUCACUUCAAAACCUGAAGAAUUCCAAGAACCAGGACAAAGAUGCCAAUGCCUCUGUGACUGUAUACAGUUGCAUGGAGCUCAUCAAAGAGAAGUUUCCCAGUUACCACGGCGGCGAGUCCAAUCAUGAAUCCAAUGAGUUGGAUGAUUGUGUGGAGGUAGUACCACAAGGGACCCCACUGUUUGCAGUAUCUUGCAAUGAUCGCACCAAUUGGAAGCAGAACGCCCCACCCGAAUAUGGCAAGCACUCCAUGGCUCCGCUUCAGCUUGUAUAGGUGCUUAUGAACCGGAGUUGAAGUCCCAAUUGCAAAAAGAAGGUGUUGCUGAGCAAGAGGGGCCUGAAACUUCAGCUGAAAGGCAAGGUAAAUCUUGGCAUGAUGAACAAGAACUUUCGGUGGAACUGCAGUGGAGAGCAGCUGCCCUUGAUCUGCUACAAUCUCCGACGCAGAUUUACCUCGCAGAUAAAAUUCUCUGAUGUGGGGGAUCCCAGUUUUGCCCAUCCAACCUACCAUGGCACUGGAGCCAACCAUCCUUCCAUCCAUGGAGAAUCCCAUUCCUACCCAGCCAACCGUGUAGAUUGUGGACAGAACAAUGCUCAGAACAUUUUCUUCGUUCUGAGAAUACUGCGAUAAGAAAGUCGACAUCAAUAGAAAGUUGUGAGUUCCGACCAUUUAAGGUAAAGAUCAGACAUGAUUAGCAUUGGCUUACUCUGAGGACGAAGUUGUUCCAGAUGGGUCUGCAUGAGAGGCCAGAGUAGUUUCUGAGAGCUGCUGGGAGUUCCAACUCGCAGCUAUCUGAUUGAGCUCCAGUAGUGAUGGCUGCAAUCACGAUCGGAAGGAUGAAGGCGACUGAAUGAAGCCCCAUUGAAGCUGCGUUCGUGGGAUGCUAUUAGAACUGAUGAGAAUAGAAAACCAAAUGAUAAGCAGAAGCUUGAAGAGGAGUGAAGUUUAAGUGUUGCCUUUGCUUAGAACUGAAGUUGAAUGAUGAUAAUGAGUUGGUUUUAUGUCUCUGUGAAAGGAAAAAAAAAGUGAGAAAUUUGUUGUAAUAUGAGAAAUUUGUGAUGAUGUUUAGCUUUGCCAAAUUGGUUGUUGGAUAUGGUAGUGGUUGAUUUAGGUGCUUAGUAUACCUCAUCAAAGUUGGAACUUGAGAAAAAGGAGUGAGCAAUCAUUAUCUAGGAUGUUACAGAAUGUCAAUAUUGUAUUGGUAAUUAUUAUGAAGGGAAUAAAUUAUCAAGAAAAUUUGCUGGAUGAUUA